AACGAACGCUGGCGGCAUGCCUAAUACAUGCAAGUCGAACGAGAUCUUCGGAUCUAGUGGCGCACGGGUGCGUAACGCGUGGGAAUCUGCCCUUGGGUUCGGAAUAACUUCUGGAAACGGAAGCUAAUACCGGAUGAUGACGUAAGUCCAAAGAUUUAUCGCCCAAGGAUGAGCCCGCGUAGGAUUAGCUAGUUGGUGAGGUAAAGGCUCACCAAGGCGACGAUCCUUAGCUGGUCUGAGAGGAUGAUCAGCCACACUGGGACUGAGACACGGCCCAGACUCCUACGGGAGGCAGCAGUAGGGAAUAUUGGACAAUGGGCGAAAGCCUGAUCCAGCAAUGCCGCGUGAGUGAUGAAGGCCUUAGGGUUGUAAAGCUCUUUUACCCGGGAUGAUAAUGACAGUACCGGGAGAAUAAGCUCCGGCUAACUCCGUGCCAGCAGCCGCGGUAAUACGGAGGGAGCUAGCGUUGUUCGGAAUUACUGGGCGUAAAGCGCACGUAGGCGGCUAUUCAAGUCAGAGGUGAAAGCCCGGGGCUCAACCCCGGAACUGCCUUUGAAACUAGAUAGCUUGAAUCCAGGAGAGGUGAGUGGAAUUCC
rnacentral:rRNA from 1 species